AGAGUUUGAUCCUGGCUCAGGAUGAACGCUGGCGGCGUGCCUAACACAUGCAAGUCGAACGGACUCAUAUUGAAACCUAGUGAUUUAUGAGUUAGUGGCGGACGGGUGAGUAACGCGUGGAAAACCUGCCGUAUACCGGGGGAUAACACUUAAAAAUAGGUGCUAAUACCGCAUAAGCGCACAGCUUCGCAUGAAGCAGUGUGAAAAACUCCGGUGGUAUAUGAUGGUUCCGCGUCUGAUUAGCUAGUUGGCGGGGUAACGGCCCACCAAGGCAGCGAUCAGUAGCCGGCCUGAGAGGGUGAACGGCCACAUUGGGACUGAGACACGGCCCAAACUCCUACGGGAGGCAGCAGUGGGGAACAUUGCACAAUGGGGGAAACCCUGAUGCAGCGACGCCGCGUGAGUGAAGAAUUAUUUCGGUACGUAAAGCUCUAUCAGCAGGGAAGAAAAUGACGGUACCUGACUAAGAAGCCCCGGCUAACUACGUGCCAGCAGCCCGCGGUAAUACGUAGGGGGCAAGCGUUAUCCGUAUUUACUGGGUGUAAAGGGAGCGUAGACGGCCCCUCAAUCUGGGAGUGUUGUGUCUGGUCCCCACCCC
rnacentral:rRNA from 1 species